rnacentral:tmRNA from 1 species
GGGGCUGACCGGAUUUGACAGCAAGGACAGUGGAUUUGUAAGCAUGCCGGGCCAUGGGAUACGCUCGUUAAAAAUUUUCCCACAACUAUAAUUGGCGAUUCUAAUUACGCUCUUGCUGCGUAACCGAAGUUUAGUAGGUUAGGCUUAAUUCCAGCUCCAGGAGCCGGAACGAGACAUCCCGCGGGCGGAUCUGUCUGAUUCCAACCUGAUCACGGGGUGCUGACAAUUUCAGACUGGCCGGGUGAACGCUCCGCUCAUUUCGGCGAGAUAAAGGAGAUAAGGUUUUGAUUUGGGUGACUGUUCCCGGGCAAUAUUCGAAAAUCAAUAACAGUAUAAGCAUGUAGAAAGCACUUUUGCUGCUUGUUUGGACGAGGGUUCGACUCCCUCCAGCUCCACCU